UACGAAGGGGGCUAGCGUUGUUCGGAAUUACUGGGCGUAAAGGGCGCGUAGGCGGGUCUUUAAGUCAAGGGUGAAAUCCUGGAGCUCAACUCCAGAACUGCCUUUGAUACUGAAGAUCUUGAGUUCGGGAGAGGUGAGUGGAACUGCGAGUGUAGAGGUGAAAUUCGUAGAUAUUUGCAAGAACACCAGUGGCGAAGGCGGCUCACUGGCCCGAUACUGACGCUGAGGCACGAAAGCGUGGGGAGCAAACAGG
rnacentral:rRNA from 1 species